rnacentral:rRNA from 1 species
UACGUAGGGUGCAAGCGUUAAUCGGAAUUACUGGGCGUAAAGCGUGCACAGGCGGUUUUGUAAGACUGUCGUGAAAUCCCCGGGCUUAACCUGGGAAUGGCGAUGGUGACUGCAAGGCUAGAGUUUGGCAGAGGGGGGUAGAAUUCCACGUGUAGCAGUGAAAUGCGUAGAUAUGUGGAGGAACACCGAUGGCGAAGGCAGCCCCCUGGGUCAAAACUGACGCUCAUGCACGAAAGCGUGGGGAGCAAACAGG